AGAUUGCUAAAAGAUACUUGCGAUUCUAUUUUAUCAUCGAUUUUCUUGCUGUGCUUCCCUUGCCGCAGAUUGUGGUCUGGAGAUUCCUGAAGAGCUCAACAGGUUCUGAUGUCUUCACUACAAAGCAAGCUUUGCUUUACAUCAUCUUACUUCAGUACAUCCCCAGAUUUGCCAGAGUUGUACCCUUAACUUCGGAAUUGAAAAGAACUACUGGUGUCUUUGCUGAAACUGCAUGGGCUGG
rnacentral:misc_RNA from 1 species